UACGGGGGGGGCAAGCGUUGUUCGGAAUUACUGGGCGUAAAGGGCUCGUAGGCGGCCAACUAAGUCAGACGUGAAAUCCCUCGGCUUAGCCGGGGAACUGCGUCUGAUACUGGAUGGCUUGAAUCCGGGAGAGGGAUGCGGAAUUCCAGGUGUAGCGGUGAAAUGCGUAGAUAUCUGGAGGAACACCGGUGGCGAAGGCGGCAUCCUGGACCGGCAUUGACGCUGAGGAGCGAAAGCCAGGGGAGCAAACGGG
rnacentral:rRNA from 1 species